rnacentral:SRP_RNA from 1 species
GCCGGGCGUGGUGGCACGUACCUGUAGUCCCAGCUACUCGGAGGCUGAGGCUGGAGGAUCGCUUGAGUCCAGUUUUGGGCUGUAGUGCGCUAUGCCGAUCGGACGUCCCCAUCAAGUUUGGCAUCAAUAUGAUGGCCUGCCAUGAGCGGGGGACCACCAGGUUGCCUAAGGAGGGGUGAACCGGCCCAGGUAGGAAACGGAGCAGGUCAAAACUCCCGUGCUGAUCAGUAGUGGGAUCCUGCCUGUAAACAGCCACUGCACUCCAGCCUGGGCAACAUAUCAUGAUCACGUCUCA